AUUGAACGCUAGCGGGAUGCCUAACACAUGCAAGUCGAACGGAGCGGCGAACGGGUGGGUAAUGAAUCGGAAGGGGCCCAGUAGCGGGGGAGAACUACGCGAAAGCGAAGCUAGUACCGCACACUAUUGGAGAGGCCGAUAUGGGAUUAGCUAGUUGGUGGGGUAAGGGCUGACCAAGGUGACGAUCCGUAGCUGGUUUGAGAGGACGACCAGCCACACUGGGACUGAGACACGGCCCAGACUCCUACGGGAGGCAGCAGUGGGGAAUUUUGGACAAUGGGGGAAACCCUGAUGCAGCCAUGCCGCGUGUACGAAGAAGGCCUUCGGGUUGUAAAGCACUUUUAGCAGGGAGGCGUUACCGGCAGAAGAAGCACCGGCUAACUACGUGCCAGCAGCCGCGGUAAUUC
rnacentral:rRNA from 1 species